rnacentral:rRNA from 1 species
GGAGGGUGCGAGCGUUGUUCGGAUUUAUUGGGCGUAAAGGGCGUGUAGGCGGUCAGAUAAGUCUGGUGUGAAAGCCCUUGGCUUAACCAAGGAAUGUCGCUGGAAACUGUCUGACUUGAGUACGAGAGAGGAGAGUGGAAGUCCCGGUGUAGAGGUGAAAUUCGUAGAUAUCGGGAGGAACACCGGUGGCGAAGGCGGCUCCCUGGACCGGCACUGACGCUGAGGUGCGAAAGCGUGAGUAGCAAACAGGAUUAGAUACCCUGGUAGUCCACGCCGUAAGCGAUGGGCACUAGGUGCAGCGGGUGUCGACCCCCCUGCUGUGCCGGAGCUAACGCAUUAAGUGCCCCCGCCUGGGGAGUACGGUCGCAAGGCUG